rnacentral:lncRNA from 1 species
AAAGAAGAAAAGAGAAAAAACAUGCAAAGUGAACUCAAUGUAAAAAGGAAAAAAGGGAAGAAGUUGGGAAUGAGUGAGAUUGGUUAAAAAGAGAGUGUGCUUGAACUUUGAAUGAUUAUUUAAACUCUCUUAACUCAAGGAUUUUGUAUUCUAGAAAAACCAAUUUUUCUUGAUAGCCCAGCCACAUUACAAGCCUUGGAAAAAGUCCUUGUGAUGACAUUUGCAUGUGAAGAUUUUGAUUGUUUUAGAUGAAUGACAAUAUUGUUUUAUGUAACAUGUGAACAGUAGAGAGUAGAGUGACCUCC